AGAGGCAUCCGGCACACACCUGCUGGCUAGCUCACGUUUGUGCUUUCAGGGAGUAAAGCGACGACGUAUGGAGGAGCGCAAUCUUGAUCAACAGGAUUAUGCGAGAAAGUUUAUUUCUUUCUCGUACAAUAUCUUAUAGAGGGCUGCUAUCGAAUAUGAAAAAGAGGCACAUGCUAGUAACCUUGAACAAGGUGAGGCAAUGGAAAAAAAUAUGAUCUCCAUGGAUCAUGAAAUUGAGAAAAUACGUGUCGAACUUGCUAAUGCAGAGAAGAGUUGCAGCAGCUGCAGCAGAGACUUCAAGUCCUAGAUAUGUUGUAGGGUUCGGAAACCCUAAAAUGAGGUAUGGUCGGAGUUCAUAUCCUGAUGUUUAUGCUAUGCAUCAGGUAUGUGCUGAUUGAUGUUUGUCUCUUAAUAAGAUGAAAAUGCUAGUGUUUGUUGUUGUUGCUAGUAAUUAAUUUGAACUCCAGCCAGAGUAAUAAUCACUUGAUCCGGACAGCGAGUUUCCAAACCUUUCCAUGGUCACUAUAAAUGAUCCCCCAGUUAAAAGUUGUAGAUUGAGAUCAUGAUUGGGCCAUACUAUGGUGACAUUGAAGGAAGAUUUGACUCCCAUCUUAAAAUCAUUGUGCUUGGAAGCGUUUCAUUUUUCUUUUCUUUUCUUUUUUUCUUUUUUCUUUUUGUUGACAAUUCUGUGAAUCCUUUUUUUUUUUUCUUAAUCUCCAUUUCAGCAGUCUUCUUUGAUUUU